rnacentral:rRNA from 1 species
AUUGAACGCUGGCGGCGUGCUUAACACAUGCAAGUCGAACGAGAACGGAUUAUAGCUUGCUAUAAUUGUCAGCUAAGUGGCGCACGGGUGAGUAAUGUAUAGGUAAUAUGCCUCUUACUAAGGGAUAACAAAUGGAAACGUUUGCUAAUACCUUAUACUCCUUAUUAACAUAAGUUAAUAAGGGAAAGAUUUAUUGGUAAGAGAUUAGCCUGUAUUGUAUCAGUUAGUUGGUGGGGUAAUGGCUUACCAAGACUAUGACACAUAACUGGUUUGAGAGGAUGAUCAGUCACACUGGAACUGAGACACGGUCCAGACUCCUACGGGAGGCAGCAGUGGGGAAUAUUGCACAAUGGACGAAGGACUGAUGCAGCAACGCCGCGUGGAGGAUGACACAUUUCGGUGCGUAAACUCCUUUUAUAUGAGAAGAUAAUGACGGUAUUAUAUGAAUAAGCACCGGCUAACUCCGUGCCAGCAGCCGCAGUAA